ACUAGUCUAGUUUAAAAAAUAAUGUUAGCUUGUCGAGCUUAAGAUAGACCACGAUUGUCUGGCUGGUU
rnacentral:tRNA from 1 species